GAUGAACGCUGGCGGCGUGCCUAAUACAUGCAAGUCGAGCGAACGGACGAGAAGCUUGCUUCUCUGAUGUUAGCGGCGGACGGGUGAGUAACACGUGGAUAACCUACCUAUAAGACUGGGAUAACUUCGGGAAACCGGAGCUAAUACCGGAUAAUAUUUUGAACCGCAUGGUUCAAAAGUGAAAGACGGUCUUGCUGUAACUUAUAGAUGGAUCCGCGCUGCAUUAGCUAGUUGGUAAGGUAACGGCUUACCAAGGCAACGAUGCAUAGCCGACCUGAGAGGGUGAUCGGCCACACUGGAACUGAGACACGGUCCAGACUCCUACGGGAGGCAGCAGUAGGGAAUCUUCAGAAAUGGGCGAAAGCCUGACGGAGCAACGCCGCGUGAGUGAUGAAGGUCUUCGGAUCGUAAAACUCUGUUAUUAGGGAAGAACAUAUGUGUAAGUAACUGUGCACAUCUUGACGGUACCUAAUCAGAAAGCCACGGCUAACUACGUG
rnacentral:rRNA from 1 species